UCGGUGAUGUGGCACGGAGGUGUCAGGCCUCCGGCAGUGAAGGUCUGUAUCUCCUGUGUCCGGCAGCGUUAUAGGUAGCGCUGGAGUUGUCCUCUCCGCAAGGUCCGCGGCUGGCACGGAUGGCACCGGCCUCGUAGAAGUAAAAUGACACUAGCAGAAUCCUGACAAGGAGGUAGAGAAAUAACGUAUUUCUGGAGCUGGAUAUCAAGGAUUUCAUGGUGGAUUCUGCUGUUUGAACAUUGAGCUCUGACGAAGGAUACAGAGUUUGUUAAAUGCCGUAGAGUAAGCCGGGAAAUGUGCGUGGAGUGGUGAGAUCACCGUUAGUCAUAGACGCUCCAGGAAUUAACUAUAUUUCUAUCGCUAUCUUCAGCUAAUGUCCAAAGCAGAAAAGAGAUUUGGUCAAAACCAUAUUACCAGCUGAUAAGGUUGAAAAAAGACACAGAUCCAUCUAGUCUCAUCUAUAAUCCUACAAUGUGGAUCCACAGGAAGGCAAAAUCUCCUAUGGGGUGGAUGUCAAUAACCUGAUAUUAAGAAGAAAAACUCCUUCCCGACUCUGAAUAUUGCAAUCAGAAAAAAAUCCCUGGACCAAAAUGAAAUCUAGUAAUUGUAACUUGUUAUAUUUACAAAAUAAAACAAACCGUUCUUGAACUUCAGUGACUCAAUCAUCACAACAUUGUGUGGUAGAGAGUAGAGAUGGCCGCCAUUGUUUAUGUACACCGUGGUAUCAGAAUAAUGUUUAAAGUGUAACUAUAGUGUAUUUGUUUAGCGAGAAA